GAUCGGCUCAGGAUGAACGCUAGCUACAGGCUUAACACAUGCAAGUCGAGGGGAAACGACAUCGAAAGCUUGCUUUUGAUGGGCGUCGACCGGCGCACGGGUGAGUAACGCGUAUCCAACCUGCCCAUCACUUGGGAAUAACCUUGCGAAAGUAAGACUAAUGCCCAAUGAUAUCCCACGAAGGCAUCCGAAUGGGAUUAAAGAUUUAUCGGUGAUGGAUGGGGAUGCGUCUGAUUAG
rnacentral:rRNA from 1 species